UGGGGAAUUUUGCACAAUGGUGGAAACUCUGAUGCAGCGACGCCGCGUGAGUGAUGAAGAUCUUCGGAUUGUAAAACUCUGUCCUCAGUGAAGAUAAUGACAGUAACUAAGAAGCAAGCCCUGGCUAAAUACGUGCCAGCAGCCGCGGUAAUACGUAUGGGGCAAGCGUUGUCCGGAAUUAUUGGGCGUAAAGGGUACGUAGGCGGUUUAAUAAGUCCUAAUUAAAAGGCUAUGGCUCAACCAUAGUAUGGUUAGGAAACUGUUGGACUUGAGUAGAUGAGGGGAAAGUAGAAUUCCAUGUGUAGCGGUGAAAUGCGUAGUUAUAUGGAGGAACACCAAUGGCGAAGGCAACUUUCAGGAAUCAAACUGACGCUGAGGUACGAAGGCGUGGGGAGCAAGCAGG
rnacentral:rRNA from 1 species